AUAACCAGGUAAUAGCUAAAUAAGAUAUACCAAUAACGAAAGGCGAAAUAAAAUUACAUACCUACGCAAUGCAUAUAAACCAAUCCUUAAUAUAAAUGGCCUUGACGAGAUAAACCUUGGUAAAUAUGCGCUGGCAAAGCGCGAUAAACGCCAGAAACCCAACAAUCCCGAAAACGAGGAAAUGCGCCAGCGCAUUUUAUUUUGUCGGGUUUUCGAAAUCGGUGGUAUAACUAUCGGGAGGUAGGACGAAAACGGUAACGCCGUUUAGCACCGGAAAACCAUUCGAAAAGUUUGCAAAUAUAAUUUAAAAUCUAAAUUGGUAUUAAUUUUGGAAAAGUAUAAGAUUUUGGGGGUUUCCUCGAAAAGAAAUGGCGUAUCGAAACGAGUGAACGAAAGCGGAAAUAUAAAUUAUAUGGUGGGAUUACCGUUACCUAAUCCUUACCAGGUAAUUUAAAAAGGCGUUGCAAUAUAAUGGUACGGUUUAAUUAUCGUUAAUAUAAUAUUUAGAAAACUCGGCGAAUAAUAUUCUCUAUUUAACUCCUUUUUUUUUUUUUAUAUAUAGUAUUAAAUUUACAAAAUUAUUAAAAUUUGUCACAAUAAGUCCUUCUUAUAUAUAAAAACCUUUAUAUUUGUACAAAAUAAAAUGCUCCACUAUUUGCUACCGUACAUUUAAUUGUUAGGAGAUCCCAUAUUUGACAUUUAUAUAAUAACCGUCGUAAUAUAUUCCAUAUACGCACCCCCAUACCCGCCCUUAUUUGCAAUAAAGGAAUUAACCCCCGAAUGUAACCGGAUUCAAAUUUGAUUUUUGCCGGGCUGUCAAUCCAUAUUAACUCCAGUAAAUCCUGGUUAAUAACCCGUGGGUUAAAUAGGUAAUCUUGGGUAAUCGGGAAAACUCGGUCGUAUGGAUUAACAAAGAACCAAAUCCCCUGUUUAUAUGGAUCGCGAAAGGUGGUAUGCAAUUAUAAAAGGCGAAUUUUUUAGUUUUUAAUUAACCAACGACCGCCUUGUUCGCCACCUGCUCGAACCGUUCCGUUCCAUUUUGCACGAUAUUUAUUAAUUAUAUUACCAUCGGGUAUAUUUCGUUAUAUAUACCCAGGUUACAGUGCUGGCCGCAAACGUUGCUACACUAUUUAUCCCGGCGGUUUUAGCGACUCCUGUAAUCUUUUAUAAUAUUAUUUUAUUUUUGGCCAGCAAUUCCAUGCAAAUGCUAAAUUAUAUUAAAAGAAAUCCCUAUAUACCACGCGAUAACUUUUCAAAAUAUUGGUUUAAAAUUUACGCGCCCAUAGGUCAAUUAAUUAUCCAAUUGUUAGCAAUUUGCAAAUAUUGUAAAUGUUUUUGCACGUUAUUUGCUUUAACCCAUUGGAUUUUUGAAAAAUCCCACAAACGACAGUUGCCCCCCUGGCUCUCAAAUUCGGCAUUACUGGCUACUUUCAAAUCCAGAUAUUCGGGCAAAUCCUUCUACAGAAUGCGGGCGAAGAUAAUCCGGCUUCGACCAAAUUAACCUCGUUCGACGGUAUUGCCUCGUUUAUAUAUUUAAAUAAUUUUAUUUUCGUGGAUAUAUUCGCUUACCCGUAUUACACCGCGGUGGUUACCAACGACGAAACCAAAUUUAUUAAUAAAAAAGCCCACAAUGGCGGUUAGGUGGCUAUAUUUGUUGCCAAAAUAGCUCCUGUCGUCGGCUAUUGCGACGAUAAUAACGCUGUAAACGUCUGGGUAGGGGAAGAGGUUACCAAAAAAAAAUACCAGGCGCUAUUUGACGAAUAUAAUAAACAAUGAAAUUAAAUGGGGUUUUAAUAAUUAAGUAAUUUAAUAAUUAAUUCCUGGUUAAAUAAUACGUUAAUUGCUGGUAGGCUCUCCUAAUUAAGACCAUUUAUUCGAUAAUAACCGUAUUAUAUAUAUUUUUGUAAACUUUGGGUAAAAGACCUAUUCCGUAUAUUUCCAAUAGCGUGGUGGCACCCCCUAACGAAGCCGUAUUACAUAAUAUAAGCAAUUAUUAUUUACCUGUGUUUUUAUAU
rnacentral:sRNA from 1 species